UUUCCGUAGGUGAACCUGCGGAAGGAUCAUUAAAAAAUGUGGUACCAUUUGUUGGUACUAAUUAAUCAUCCUACCCUUUGUGAAUUUGUUUGUAACGAAUUUUUUUAAAUGGGUCUUCCCUAAGUUGGAUUGUAGUAAAAAUACAAAAAGACUUAGGGGAAUGACUUUUUUAAAAGACUUUUUUUAAAUUAAAACUUUUUGUAUUCAUUUGUCUAAAAUUUAUUUUUAUAAUAUAAAAACAACUUUUGACAAUGGAUCUCUGGUUCUCGCAACGAUGAAGAACGCAGCAAAAUGCGAUAAGUAGUGUGAAUUGCAGAAUACGUGAAUCAUCGAAUCUUCGAACGCAUAUUGCACUUUUUUAGUUUACUAAAAAGUAUGUCUGUUUGAGUAUCAGUAAAAUAUUCUCACAAACAUAUAUUGUUUGUGGUUAUGAGUGUUUUACAACGAUAAACAAGUUGUUUCACUUUAAAUUCUUUUUAAGAAUUUUUACCAAUUCAAAUUUAAAAUUGGAUAAAAUUUUCCUUAACGAGGAAUAACCUAAACAAUUUUAAAUUUUAUGAUUUAUAAAUCGUAAAGGAAUUAUACAUAAAUAACUUGAUCUCAAAUCAGAUAAGAGUACCCGCUGAACUUAAGCAUAUCAAUAAGCGGAGGAAAAGAAACUAACAAGGAUUCCCUAGUAACGGCGAGUGAAGCGGGAAGAGCUCAAAUUUGAAAUCUUCAAGGUUUGACCUUGACGAAUUGUAGUUUAUAGAAGUGUUUUCUGUUGGAGUUUUGGUAAAAGUUCUUUGGAAUAGGACAUCAUAGAGGGUGAGAAUCCCGUAUUUGACCAUGACUUUCCAGCUGUGUGAUACACUUUCAAAGAGUCGGAUUGUUUGGGAAUGCAGUCCAAAAUGGGUGGUAAAUUUCAUCUAAAGCUAAAUAUUGGCGAGAGACCGAUAGCGAACAAGUACCGUGAGGGAAAGAUGAAAAGAACUUUGAAAAGAGAGUUAAACAGUACGUGAAAUUGUCAAAAGGGAAGCGUUUGACACCAGUGUUGUUUUCUCGAAAAUCAAUUAAUGAGUUCUUGUUUUUAAGUUAUUGUGACUUUAUCAGCGCAUUUCUUAUUUUACUUGACUCAUUGAAUGCACUUUUCGUUUAACAAGUCAACAUCAAUUUCUUUGGUGGUAAAAAGUUUAAAGGAAGGUGGCUUGGACUUCGGUUCAAGUGUUUAUAGCCUUUUUCUAUGCCAUCGGAGAGAUUGAGGUCUGCAGCGUAGAUCCUUCGGGGUUAGAUACCUUUGUGCUAAGUUAUAGUUUUUUAUAGACAACUUGUUGACUAUAAUUAACCCUGUAAUUUACUCGCUUAGGCUAUUU
rnacentral:misc_RNA from 1 species